rnacentral:rRNA from 1 species
AGAGUUUGAUCAUGGCUCAGAAUCAACGCUGGCGGCGUGCCUAACACAUGCAAGUCGAGCGAGAAAGGGGACUUCGGUUCCCGAGUAAAGCGGCGGACGGGUGAGUAACACGUGGGUAAUCUACCCUCGGGUGGGGAAUAACUCAGGGAAACCUGGGCUAAUUCCGCAUGACAUCUCCUUUCCACAAGGAUUGGGGAUCAAAGCUGGGGACCCUUCGGGGCCUGGCGCCUGAGGAGGAGCCCGCGGCCAAUUAGCUUGUUGGUGAGGUAAUGGCUCACCAAGGCUUCGAUUGGUAGCCGGCCUGAGAGGGCGGACGGCCACACUGGGACUGAGACACGGCCCAGACUCCUACGGGAGGCAGCAGUGGGGAAUUUUUGUCAAUGGGGGAAACCCUGAACAAGCAACGCCGCGUGAAGGACGACGACCUUCGGGUUGUAAACUUCUGUCGGAGGGGACGAAAGCAGUAGCGGUUAAUACCCGCCAUUGUUGACGGUACCCUACGAGGAAGCCCCGGCUAACUCCGUGCCAGCAGCCGCGGUAAUACGGGGGGGGCAAGCGUUGUUCGGAAUUACUGGGCGUAAAGGGCGCGCAGGCGGGCGGGCAAGUCUCUCGUGAAAGCCCACGGCUCAACCGUGGAACUGCGGGGGAAACUGCUCGUCUUGAGUCCGGGAGAGGAGUGUGGAAUUCCCAGUGUAGCGGUGAAAUGCGUAGAUAUUGGGAGGAACACCGGUGGCGAAGGC